rnacentral:rRNA from 1 species
AACGAACGCUGGCGGCAUGCCUAACACAUGCAAGUCGAACGGGAUCCUAGCUUGCUAGGUGAGAGUGGCGGACGGGUGAGUAACACGUGGGAAUCUGCCUUUUGGUUCGGGAUAACCGCGGGAAACUGCGGCUAAUACCGAAUGCCCUCGAGAGAGGAAAGAUUUAUCGCCAGAAGAGGAGCCCGCGUCCGAUUAGGUAGUUGGUGGGGUAAAGGCCUACCAAGCCGACGAUCGGUAGCUGGUCUGAGAGGAUGAUCAGCCACACUGGGACUGAGAUACGGCCCAGACUCCUACGGGAGGCAGCAGUGGGGAAUAUUGGACAAUGGGGGCAACCCUGAUCCAGCAAUGCCGCGUGAGUGAUGAAGGCCUUAGGGUUGUAAAGCUCUUUUGCCAGGGAAGAUGAUGACUGUACCUGGAGAAUAAAGCCCGGCUAACUUCGUGCCAGCAGCCGCGGUAA